rnacentral:misc_RNA from 1 species
UUUCCGUAGGUGAACCUGCGGAAGGAUCAUUCACAAUAAGUGUUUUAUGGCGCUUUUUAAACAAUCCAUAUCCACCUUGUGUGCAACGUUAUGAGACACGCUAUCGUUAUCUUUUAGGUUACGGAAGGGUGAACGUCUACAUCUUACCAACAUCACCUGUAACUUAUUUGUGUGGACAUUUGUUAUCACGAAUGAACUUAAUUCGAAAAUACAACUUUCAACAACGGAUCUCUUGGCUCUC